AGCAGCCGCGGUAAUUCCAGCUCCAAUAGCGUAUAUUAAAGUUGUUGCAGUUAAAAAGCUCGUAGUUGAAUUUCGGGAUCAAUAUAUCGGUCGUGCCUUCGGUACGUACUGGUAUCGUUGAUUUCUACCUUCUGACGAACCAUGAUGUCAUUAAUUUGGUGUCAUGGGAAAUCAGGACUGUUACUUUGAAAAAAUUAGAGUGUUUAAAGCAGGCACACGCUUGAAUACAUUAGCAUGGAAUAAUGAAAUAGGACGUUUGACCCUAUUUUGUUGGUUUCUAGGAUUGACGUAAUGAUUAAUAGGGAUAGUUGGGGGCAUUAGUAUUCAAUUGUCAGAGGUGAAAUUCUUGGAUUUAUUGAAGACUAACUACUGCGAAAGCAUUUGCCAAGGAUGUUUUCAUUAAUCAAGAACGAAAGUUAGGGGAUCGAAGACGAUCAGAUACCGUCGUAGUCUUAACCAUAAACUAUGCCGACUAGGGAUCGGAUGAUGUUAAUUUUUUAAUGA
rnacentral:rRNA from 1 species